AACGAACGCUGGCGGCAGGCCUAACACAUGCAAGUCGAACGCCGUAGCAAUACGGAGUGGCAGACGGGUGAGUAACGCGUGGGAACAUACCCCUCGGUUCGGAAUAACUCAGGGAAACUUGAGCUAAUACCGGAUACGUCCGAGGUUUUAAUCGGCCUUGGAGAAAGAUUUAUCGCCGGAGGAUUGGCCCGCGUCUGAUUAGCUUGUUGGUGAGGUAAUGGCUCACCAAGGCGACGAUCAGUAGCUGGUCUGAGAGGAUGAUCAGCCACAUUGGGACUGAGACACGGCCCAAACUCCUACGGGAGGCAGCAGUGGGGAAUAUUGGACAAUGGGCGAAAGCCUGAUCCAGCCAUGCCGCGUGAGUGAUGAAGGCCUUAGGGUUGUAAAGCUCUUUUACCCGGGAAGAUAAUGACGGUACCGGGAGAAUAAGCCCCGGCUAACUUCGUGCCAGCAGCCGCCGUAAG
rnacentral:rRNA from 1 species